GUGAGCUUAGCAUUCAGCUAGUUUAGUCCUGAGCAGCUGGCUGAGCACCUGCAGGGGAAAGCAGAGAUGGGUGUUCUUUCUGCUGGAAGGGAUGUGACACACAUGGAUCAGCUGAGGAGAUGAAGGGCUGGCCAUCUCCAGAAGAUAACAGAGACUAACCAUGCUUAAGUCCUGCCUAGAAGCCUUUGUCUUCUGAUCAUAGAUUAGUUUGCAAAAGGUUGAUUGAUCUAUUGGGGAGAGAGGGAAGGCAAGAAGAACGAGACCCACAAAAGAUGACUUGACCUGCUCAACAGUCACACAGCAGCUGUGUUGCCUGUUCCCCCCCGGCUGCUGUAUACCACACAGAAAGUUCUGCCUAUGCCACUUAAGCCACAGGUUGGUCACCCCUGUGCCAGAUGGAAGUCAGGAGGAGGGCCCAGCUCAGCCAGAUUGGAGGAGCACUUGGAAACCAUAAAUUGCUGGUAUGAGCAAGACAGUGAGCUGGCCUGCAUGCAGCCCAUAUAUUGCAACAGAUGCCUACCCUCCUGCAGGAUAGUGAUUGUGGAUCAUGCCCCACCCAGCAGUAGCAUAGCUAAAGGUGGGGUUGACUAGGGCAUCAGCCCUGGGCAUUGAAUUAAGGUGGGGAGGGGGUGUGCAAAAAUAGCAGCUACUACACUGUCAUCCUGGCCACCAGUGCCACUGCUGACAGCACAACCACUGGUGCUACCCAGUGUGCAGAAGUGCUCAGGGCUGCCUCAGCUAGCACCCACUCCUGCUGGGCCUGGGCAACAGCUAGAGGCUCGUGCAACCAAGUGGUUUGAAGCCUGUACCAGGUAGUGGUGGCUGCACAGCUGAAAAACAUGAGGAAGAAGAUUUUUCUGUGCUGAGCGAUGACUGCCCAUGAGGGUGAGAGCUGUCCUGGGCAUGGAGGACAGCACAACAGCCUUAUGGAAGAUGGCUCCCUAGGAUGUGGCCAGCAACUCCUGAAUGGGUGCAGGGUACCCCAGGCAAUGCUGCAGAAGUGUGCGAGUGAGGUGACUGUUAUCCCAGAGACUGCUGAGACACUGCAACAACUGGGCUGUGCAGGACUCAUGGAUGGACCCCUAGCUGCCCAUUUGGUUCCUUAUUUUCCUGGUAUGUCAGCUGGUGUAGCAGAAAGCCCCUUUUUCCUCUUGCCUGCAUUUGCUUUCCCCUCUUUGGAUAUGUUUCUCC